rnacentral:rRNA from 1 species
UAGGAAGGGAGCUUGCUCCCGGAUGUUAGCGGCGGACGGGUGAGUAACACGUGGGUAACCUGCCUGUUUGACUGGGAUAACUCCGGGAAACCGGAGCUAAUACCGGAUAGUUCCUUGAACCGCAUGGUUCAAGGAUGAAAGACGGUUUCGGCUGUCACUUACAGAUGGACCCGCGGCGCAUUAGCUAGUUGGUGAGGUAACGGCUCACCAAGGCGACGAUGCGUAGCCGACCUGAGAGGGUGAUCGGCCACACUGGGACUGAGACACGGCCCAGACUCCUACGGGAGGCAGCAGUAGGGAAUCUUCCGCAAUGGACGAAAGUCUGACGGAGCAACGCCGCGUGAGUGAUGAAGGUUUUCGGAUCGUAAAGCUCUGUUGUUAGGGAAGAACAAGUGCAAGAGUAACUGCUUGCACUUUGACGGUACCUAACCAGAAAGCCACGGCUAACUACGUGCCAGCAGCCGCGGUAAUACGUAGGUGGCAAGCGUUGUCCGGAAUUAUUGGGCGUAAAGGGCUCGCAGGCGGUUUCUUAAGUCUGAUGUGAAAGCCCCCGGCUCAACCGGGGAGGGUCAUUGGAAACUGGGAAACUUGAGUGCAGAAGAGGAGAGUGGAAUUCCACGUGUAGCGGUGAAAUGCGUAGAGAUGUGGAGGAAGACCAGUGGCGAAGGCGACUCUCUGGUCUGUAACUGACGCUGAGGAGCGAAAGCGUGGGGAGCGAACAGGAUUAGAUACCCUGGUAGUCCACGCCGUAACGAUGAGUGCUAAGUGUUAGGGGGUUUCCGCCCCUUAGUGCUGCAGCUAACGCAUUAAGCACUCCGCCUGGGGAGUACGGUCGCAAGACUGAAACUCAAAGGAAUUGACGGGGGCCCGCACAAGCGGUGGAGCAUGUGGUUUAAUUCGAAGCAACGCGAGAACCUUACCAGGUCUUGACAUCCUCUGACAACUCCUAGAGAUAGGGCUUUCCCUUUCGGGGACAGAGUGACAGUGGUGCAUGGCUUGUCGUCAGCUCGUGUCGUGAGAUGUUGGGGUUAAGUCCCGCAACGAGCGCACCCUGAUCUAGUGCCAGCAUUCAGCUGGCACUUAG